rnacentral:rRNA from 1 species
GAUGAACGCUGGCGGCGUGCCUAAUACAUGCAAGUCGAGCGAACAGACGAGGAGCUUGCUCCUUUGACGUUAGCGGCGGACGGGUGAGUAACAUGUGGAUAACCUACUUAUCAGACUGGUAUAAUUUCGGGAAACCGGAUCUAAUACCGUAUAAUAUCUUGAUCCGCAUGGUUCAAUAGUGAAAGACGGUUUUGCUGUCACUUCUAGAUGGUUCCCCGCUGCAUUAGCUAGUUGGUAAGGUAACGGCUUACCAAGGCAACGAUGCGUAGCCGACCUCAGGGGGUGAUCGGCCACACUGGAACUGAGACACGGUCCAGACUCCUACGGGAGGCAGCAGUAGCGAAUCUUCCGCAGUAGGCGGAAGCCUGGCGGAGCGACGCCGCGUGAGUGAUGAAGGUCUUCGGAUCGUAAAGCUCUGUUAUGAGGGGAAAACAAAUGUGGAAGUAACUAUGCACGUCUUGACGGUACCGAAUCAGAAAGCCACGGCUAACUACGUG